UACGUAGGGAGCAAGCGUUGUUCGGAUUUACUGGGCGUAAAGGGCGCGUAGGCGGCGCGGUAAGUCACUUGUGAAAUCUCUGAGCUUAACUCAGAACGGCCAAGUGAUACUGCAGUGCUAGAGUGCAGAAGGGGCAAUCGGAAUUCUUGGUGUAGCGGUGAAAUGCGUAGAUAUCAAGAGGAACACCUGAGGUGAAGACGGGUUGCUGGGCCAACACUGACGCUGAUGCGCGAAAGCCAGGGGAGCAAACGGG
rnacentral:rRNA from 1 species